rnacentral:rRNA from 1 species
GAUGAACGCUAGCGGCAGGCUUAAUACAUGCAAGUCGUGGGGCAGCAGGGUUGUAGCAAUACAAUCGCUGGCGACCGGCAAACGGGUGCGUAACACGUACGCAACCUUCCCGUUACUGUGGCAUAGCCCAGGGAAACUUGGAUAAAUACCACAUAUUAUAUUAGUGAGGCACCUCAUUGAUAUCAAAGCUUCGGCGGUAACGGAUGGGCGUGCGGUUGAUUAGGUAGUUGGCGGGGUAACGGCCCACCAAGCCUACGGUCAAUAGCUGGUGUGAGAGCAAGAUCAGCCACACGGACACUGGGACACGGGCCCGACUCCUACGGGAGGCAGCAGUAAGGAAUAUUGGGCAAUGGACGAAAGUCUGACCCAGCCAUGCCGCGUGAAGGAUUAAGGUCCUCUGUAUUGUAAACUUCUUUUCUCUGGGGCGAAAACCAGCUAUUCUUAGCUAUUUGACAGUACCAGAGGAAUAAGCACCGGCUAACUCCGUGCCAGCCGCCGCCGUAACAC